GGCCACAGCCAUAUCACCCUGCAGCAAGGACUGGUUACUCACUGAAGUUAAGCAGGGCUGAGCCUGGUCAGUACCUGGAAGGGAGACCACAUGGAAAAAACUAGAUUGAUGUUGGAA
ensembl:rRNA 5S_rRNA 5S ribosomal RNA